CACCUUUCCCUCUAACGACCAUCUGCGGCAGCAAGAUACGACACAUGUUCGUAACCACCACCACGUUGCAAUGAACGAUACUCAUGUAGAUUUUCUCUUUGUGAGGAAGAUCGAGGAAAUAUUCCGGGUGUGGAUAAGACAUGCCUAGGUUGUUGAUCAACACACCGAUUUCCAAGCCGAACAUCUCUUUCUCGAUCACAUUGUAUGCGUCUAACCCGUCGGAAAGAGUUAACUCAAAGAUUGAUACCCCAAGAGAUUCCGCUAGGACCACAACAUUUCCAGCCAAAUGUGUCAAAUAUUUAUUUCUUGCAAAUCGACUACGUACACCUUUUCGGACAAGGUAAUACGCCAGGUCGGUUGCCAGCAUGCUAGGUGCUAGAGCAUCUACGCAUUUUCGCUGAUUCACUUCAACAGUGG